AAUAGUUUUCCAGGAAGUGUUACUGUCUUGGGGUCUUCCAACUCAUUUCUAACAAAAAAAGGUCUUACUUUGGGACUGUCUAUUUACAUCACAGCAGGUGGAGUUUGCUCAGUUGUCUUCACCAAAGACUUAAAACAUGAAACAGCAAGGGGCCAGAGUUAUGGACCAGGAGCCAAUGGAUGGCAGGACAAAGACCGAGGGUGCCACCCACAUCUGAAACUCUGAAGAAGACCAUGAGAUGCCGCUGAAAUAGCAAAAGAAACUUGAGUCACAUCUCCGUCCUCCUCUAACCAUUUUAUCCAGAACGAGGAAUUGGAAGUGUGUGGAGGAGGAUUUCCAGAACAUCACAUCUUCCCUUGGUUGUGGAAUUAAAUGGUGAAUAAUGCAUGGCUGGAAGCAUCCCUCUCUCUGAGUUGCAUCUCUUCUGGACAGCAGGGGAUCUGAA